AAUUACAAACCUUCAAUACCUUUCACCCAAGCUUGUGGUAAAUCAGAUUGAUUUUAGUCCAAUGGCCAUAGAGAAGGGGAUUGAGCAUUUAGAUUGAAGUCUCCAGAGGGACAAUAUACUAGUAAUUUCUUCAAAUGUCAUUUGAAAAGUAAUCUUGUGCGGUCAGCUCUGGUGUGCCAAAACACGUUAGGUAGUGGUAUAAAAUGAGCGGAACAAAAUCAAUAGAGUUUCCUCAGAAAGGUGUAAAACAGCACUACGAUACAGGCUCUGACGCGAGGAAACGUUUUUUAUUGAUGCGUCAAAAAAGACCAACCAGGGAAAAUUGUACAAUCAUUAUGAACUAAUCGGAUGUAUUUCUCAGGAAUAGUUAUAAACCUUGAAAGCAUCCUAGCCUGUAAGCAAUAAAGUCAAAAACACUUGGCCAAAGUGUUUUAAACCAACGUCUAGAUUGCAUAUAUCGGUAGUUGUCUAUUUGACUCAAUAUGACGAUCGCAAAUACAUGUAACUUCGUGGUUAGACCAGAUGGCUGUACUUCUAAAGGUUAAAAGGUCAUGGGGCGAUAAAGUUAAGUUACGAUCAAGAUGACCUUCACUAAGUGCCUAACACGUUUUUCUAGUAAUAUACACAAAUGGUAACCAUAUCAUUGCAUGGACAAUGAGAUUACAAGCGUUCUCCCAGACAUAUCUGCUGUGGUCAAAGAUUAUAGGUCAACCCAUGUCGGUCACCAAUACAGCUGAUUACGAACGUCCAUUCUGAUCAUUUUUUAAAGCCGAGCGUUCGAAUAAAGGCUGAUAUCUGACCCUGGUCGUAAUUUGGCCACUGUUAAUUGACUACUGACAGAGUCUAACAACUUGAGAGGGCACCUGCUAGGAUUCCCCUUAGGAAUCUGAACGAUUCCCAACACGAUAGUGUUCGAAGUGAUUAAUCGAGGACAGUAUUAGAUUGCAGGAGUUGGCCGUUCACCUACAGCAACGCUUCAUCGAGUUUCUUUUCAUAUAUAAUAUAAAAGCAAAGUACGAAUCCAGAGAUUUCGUUAUUCAUUUAACGACCCUGUGACAUCAGUGACAUUUGAGAGUGACCUAAACACCGGCACACAUGUAGUCCCUUCAAGGUUCUGAAUUGUAAAAGGAGUCACUGCUUACAUAAGCCUUUCAUGGCCUCAUGCGUUCUCCCGGGCACAGAGAGGAUAAGUAAGUAAGUAAGUACAUAAGCCUUUCAUGGCCUCAUGUGUCCUCCGGGGCACGGAGAGGAUAAGUUAGUAAGUACAUAAGCCUUUCAGUUCUUAUGAACAAAGAGUUCAUAGUUCACCAACAUUUAAAAGUUAUCUUGAACUGCAUGCUUAAUUGAUUCGAUCAUCAAUACAAUUAUAUCGGAGAAAAAAUAAGCUAAAGCUUUUAUUAAAUUUAGAGAAAUUUUUCACACCUCAUUUCAUUUCUCUACUGACAAGAGAUUGUAGACAAAGCUAAGGAUUAAAUCAAAUAUGUUGUUUCAGUAAAAAUAAUAUAAUGAUCACGUGUAAAUGAUAACAUGCAUGUAUGCUACAUUUUUGGCACUGUUUCAAUUAAUUUAAUUUCACCUCUUCAUUUAUAAUUUUUUAUUUAAUAGCUUUAACACCCAUUCAUGGUUACUAAAUGAAAAAUUUAUACCCAGCACAGCAAGAGGCGCGAAGCGAGGAUUAAUGGUAACACGUAUAUAUAAGAAACUCAGUGAAAAAUGAAAGUUGAAUUAGGGGUACUAAGGCCAAAAAAAAAUUCUUCUAACCCUGGGCGCCGCCAUAUUGGCAACCAUUUUGUUUUUAAAAAUUUAGUUCGAUCAUUGAUUGACUGGUACUUAUCGAUGUUUUUUGCCCCUAGCUAUAGACUCGAUUAAAUAAGUUCCAGUGUUUCAAUAGAAGGUGAUUUGAAUUAAAGAAAUUAAAAAGGAAACCAGAUAAGUUUAAAAAGUGUUUUAAUCAAGAAACAUGACUUGUUCUAUGUGUGUCUUAUCAAAUUAUCAGAUGGAAAAUAAAAACAUUAAUGUCAAGGAAUGAUCUCUAAGAUACUGAAUAAGGUAUUCAAUUUAUUACAGCGGCAUUCAUGUGAACUAAAAUUGAUGAACAACGAAAGAAGAAAUAUAAAAAAAAUCGAAAUCACGUAACUCUCUUCAGCUAUUUCCGAAGACAAAACUUUUAACGUUUUACGUCUGAAAUAUGACGUCAUAAUGUAGAAUGAGCACGCGACAUUUAGUUUAACUUUGAUGAAUGAUUUGAGUAGGCAACCAUGCAGAAGGAUCCUACUGUGUGCGUUUUAAAUAGAUUUUAUUAAAAGAAAAUCAAAUCUGCGCUCGGUCCAACGGUCACACCGUUUACAUAUUAUGUAUAAAUGCUACAUAUACAUGUAUUUAACUGCUCUCAUUGAAAACAGUCGAAUCUAAACAUUUUAAUUAACA